GAUGAACGCUGGCGGCGUGCCUAAUACAUGCAAGUCGAGCGAACAGACGAGAAGCUUGCUCCUCUGACGUUAGCGGCGGACGGGUGAGUAACACGUGGAUAACCUACCUAUAAGACUGGGAUAACUUCGGGAAACCGUAGCUAAUACCGGAUAAUAUUUUGAACCGCAUGGUUCAAUAGUGAAAGACGGUUUUGCUGUCACUUAUAGAUGGAUCCGCGCUGCAUUAGCUAGUUGGUAAGGUAACGGCUUACCAAGGCAACGAUGCGUAGCCGACCUGAGAGGGUGAUCGGCCACACUGGAACUGAGACACGGUCCAGACUCCUACGGGAGGCAGCAGUAGGGAAUCUUCCGCAAUGGGCGAAAGCCUGACGGAGCAACGCCGCGUGAGUGAUGAAGGUCUUCGGAUCGUAAAACUCUGUUAUUAGGGAAGAACAAAUGUGUAAGUAACUAUGCACGUCUUGACGGUACCUAAUCAGAAAGCCACGGCUAACUACGUG
rnacentral:rRNA from 1 species